rnacentral:rRNA from 1 species
GACUCUCGGCAACGGAUAUCUCGGCUCUCGCAUCAAUGAAGAACGUAGCGAAAUGCGAUACCUGGUGUGAAUUGCAGAAUCCCGCGAACCAUCGAGUCUUUGAACGCAAGUUGCGCCCGAGGCCACUCGGCCGAGGGCACGCCUGCCUGGGCGUCA